rnacentral:lncRNA from 1 species
AAUUUUGAACAUGGUAAAUAUCAGUAGAUAUAACCUAUGUCAACAAAAGAUCUUUGGGUUCCCCAACAAUUUUUAAGAGUAAGAAGGAGGUCUGAGACCAAAAAGUCCGAGAACAGUUGAUCUCAAUGUACUGAAGUGGUUACUGUUGGAUGCUUGAACCUAGCAGGUGGGCGACGCUGGUGCUGGAGAGGGCAUGGGUACGAAGACGAGAAGAUCCUAAGCAGAGAGAAGAAGGAGGAAGAACGGUAAAAGCAAAAGUUAAGAAGCCAUGUGACUCUCAAGAGACACAGCCAGCACUGUGUAUUUCUCAUUUUCUAGUUGCUGUCUAGACAUCUGUGAGACCCAGUUAUACCUCCUGCCCUUGGGAUCUUUGAGAUAACAUGAAAAACAAAUUCCAUCUUUUUUUUCUUAAAGAGAAAAAAGAAACUGGAGCAAAAAAUAAAAUACUAUUGUAGGCUUGAAAGCAAGACAUUUUGGGAAUGCAGGGUCCUUUUGGAGUCCAGAAAUCUCAGAGCUGUGACAAAGGCUGAUACAAUUCAUGAUGCUCAAGCAGAGGCUAGCAGAUCACGUGUCUGAGGUGUGGGAGAGGAAUCUCUAGUUCUGUGAUUCUAUAGUGGCCUUCGGUGUGUUGGUCAGUCCAUUGGCACACAGUGUUUCUGUGCUCACGAGGACUUUCCUUCACCUUCCUGUCUAAUCUUGGCCGACACGUCUCUGGGACGUAGUUUCUCCAUACUUACAAAAUGGGAGUCAGAAGAGUUUCCAGGUCUUGGUCUGCAAUUGACAGAAACCUACGUCAAAUCAGCUUAAGCACCAAAGAGCAUCUUUUGACUUCUAUAGAGGGGAAGCCAAGCUGAGCAAGUGCUGGCUCCGACGUAAGUGGAUCCAGGCCUUCAAACAGUGUCGUCAUGGCUUCACUCUGUUUCUCUCUUCCCUCCUUCUAUUCUUUCCCAUUUCCUGCCCAUUCCCUUCCACCUACCUCUGUUUGCUUUGUUCUCCAUUCAACCACAGAACAGCCCCCAGAAGCUGUAAGCUCAUAUGCACCUUUGAGCUUAGGAGCUCAGAAACAGAAACAAUGAUGUGGCAUCUACAGGCCCAAUGUCUUGGAGACUCUUUCAUUGACUUGGGUCAUAUGCCCAUCCUUUGAACCAAUGACCUUACACAGGGCCGUGGAGAACAAGAUUGGCCAGGGUUAUGUGCCCUCUCCUUCGCCAGGGAGUCGGGGAUGAAUUGGUGUUGGUGGUCCUAUCAGAACCUCGUAGAAAGAGACAGGAGCAGCCCUGUGAACAGAGGGGUGCUGGGCAGACUGCAGCCUGAACCCUUGAAGCGUCAUGAAGUAAAGCAAACUCUGCCUGUUGAGUGUUAAUGAUUUUAAAAAGAAAUACAACCAUGUGGCCUUUACAGCAUUGUCAGGAGUUUGCCAUUUUCUUCUGAGUCCCCCCCUUCUCUUCUUAGGGACAGUUCCAUCUUUUCCCAUUACUUGGCAGGGUUUCAUCUGCAUGGUUUAGUUUUCAUUUUUGCUCCUAGGCCUCUUGCCAACUUUUGUUGUGUUGUGAAUAGAGUCAGCUACACCCAGAGCAUUCCCAGUCAGUGAUGGCAAUUCCUUGCAACACAUUCAUGCUUCUUUUCAAGUCUAAAUCUUUUCUACCUGAAUCUUUUCUUUAACCCUGAUGUGUAACAGAGAUGGAGAGCCAGAGUUGAUAUAAAAAGACUACAAAUCAAUAAAAAAGCAAAAAGGAUGAUCUCUUGAUAUGGAGUCCUCAUCAAAUUUAGUGUUUAGUUG